rnacentral:rRNA from 1 species
UACGAGGGGGGCAAGCGUUGUUCGGAAUUAUUGGGCGUAAAGGGCGCGUAGGCGGUGCGGUAAGUCACCUGUGAAAACUCUGGGCUCAACUCAGAGCCUGCAGGCGAAACUGCCGUGCUUGAGUGUGGGAGAGGUGCGUGGAAUUCCCGGUGUAGCGGUGAAAUGCGUAGAUAUCGGGAGAAACACCUGUGGCGAAAGCGGCGCACUGGACCACAACUGACGCUGAGGCGCGAAAGCUAGGGGAGCAAACAGG